rnacentral:rRNA from 1 species
GACGAACGCUGGCGGCGUGCCUAAUACAUGCAAGUAGAACGCUGAAGAGAGGAGCUUGCUCUUCUUGGAUGAGUUGCGAACGGGUGAGUAACGCGUAGGUAACCUGCCUUGUAGCGGGGGAUAACUAUUGGAAACGAUAGCUAAUACCGCAUAACAAUGGAUGACACAUGUCAUUUAUUUGAAAGGGGCAAUUGCUCCACUACAAGAUGGACCUGCGUUGUAUUAGCUAGUAGGUGAGGUAAUGGCUCACCUAGGCGACGAUACAUAGCCGACCUGAGAGGGUAAUCGGCCACACUGGGACUGAGACACGGCCCAGACUCCUACGGGAGGCAGCAGUAGGGAAUCUUCGGCAAUGGGGGCAACCCUGACCGAGCAACGCCGCGUGAGUGAAGAAGGUUUUCGGAUCGUAAAGCUCUGUUGUAGGUCAAGAACGGGUGUGAGAGUGGAAAGUUCACACUGUGACGGUAGCUUACCAGAAAGGGACGGCUAACUACGUG